CACUACUUUGUAUCAUAGGUCUCUCUAAUUCUGUACUGGUGUGGCCUUGAGCAAGGGUGCAUAAAUUAAGGCUGUUUGUUCAGCAGUGGUUAGACAACCAUGAGAUGGUUCCAAUGAUUGAUGGCUCAUAAUGCUGUUGGCCUACUAAUUCCAUCUUUUUACA